AUCCGUCGGCGUGUAAUUGUUUACAGUCCGACGAGCAACUUUAAACGCAAGUAUUGAGUUGCAGCAUAUAUUUUUAUUUGCAGAAAUCCAAUAGUAUCCAACUGCAGCCCCGGAGAACAACACCCUGCCAUGACAGAACACCCAGGCAGGACAGAAGUACUGUGGCUGGACGGACUUCAACUGAGAGAUCGACGCUUCCAACUUCAUCAGACGAAAGAGUAACGUCUGAACAAUUGGCAACAAACGGUUCAAACUUCAACAGCAGAUCCAUUGACUUCUGCAUCCAUAGUUCUGACUUCAACAGAUGAACCAUUGACUUCUGCAUCAACAACUCUGACUUCAACAGAUGGAACAGUGACUUCUGCCUUCAGUUUUUCUUUCAUGACGACCAAUAAAAAACGACAGCAUCACCCCUUGUGAUUUCUUUGAGAACUAACGACACUGAUGACAUUUUAUCAAUUAUUUAUUUUAUAAUUGAUAAAAAUCGACAGUGUUACCACUUAUGUUUUAAUUGAUAAAACACGAGUGUUACCCCUUAUGUUUUAUUUUGAUAAAAUAAAAUAACAUUACCCUUAUGAUUUUUUCAUGACGUCCGAUAAAAAACAACAGUGUUACCCCUUAUGUUUUUAAGAUAAGAAAACACCAGUAUUGUCCCUUAAGUUUGAAUUAUUAGAAAAACACCAGUGUUACCCCUUAAGUUUUUUUACGAAGAAUACAGUGUUACACCUUAUGUUUUUUUUCACGACGAACAAUAAAAAACGAGUGUUACCCCUUGUGUUUCCUUUGAGAACUAACGACAGUCUUACCCCUUUAUUUCAUAAUUGAUCAAAAGCGACAGUGUUGCCCCUUAUGUUUUAUUUGAUAAAGCACGACAGUGUUACCCCUUAUGUUUUAUUUAAAAAAAAUAAAAUAACAUUACCCUUAUGAUUUUUCAUGACGAUCGAUAAACAACAGUGUUACCCCUUAUGUUUUUAAUCAAAAAAAACACCACUCUUGCCCCAUCAUUGGUUCGACCCGUGGUUAAAUUCAUCAGACUUAUCCGUUUCACCGGUUCGUCAGGGCCCAUGAGAUUGGUCUCCAUAAUAUUGUGUC
ensembl:lncRNA